rnacentral:rRNA from 1 species
AUUGAACGCUGGCGGCAGGCUUAACACAUGCAAGUCGAACGAGUGGCGGACGGGUGAGUAAUGCUUGGGAAUCUAGCUUAUGGAGGGGGAUAACUACGGGAAACUGUAGCUAAUACCGCGUACCAUAGGAUGAGCCCAAGUGGGCUUAGGUAGUUGGUGAGGUAAAGGCUAACCAAGCCGACGAUCUCUAGCUGGGCGGAGAGGAUGACCAGCCACACUGGGACUGAGACACGGCCCAGACUCCGACGGGAGGAAGCAGUGGGGAAUAUUGCGAAAUGGGGGAAACCUGACGAAGCCAGGCCGCGUGAAUGAAGAAGGCCUUGGGGUUGUAAAGUUCUUUCGGUAGCGAGGCGUUAACUACAGAAGAAGCACCGGCUAACUCCGUGCCAGCCGCCGCGGUAAUUC